UUUAACAAUCGAUUGUCUGGUGUUCCAAAAUAACUGCCAGAAUAUUUAACGUAUCAGACAAUCGAUUGUUUAAGGCAACAAUCGAUUGUCUGACUAGCAGUGACCAAAAAAUAAUUUCCAGAAUAACACAUGAUUUUCAACAUGGAUUUUAAACAUAAAAAACAUGUUGUUAACCAACUAAAAUCAUGCUGAAUCANNNN
rnacentral:lncRNA from 1 species